AAAAAAUGUAUAUGUACUUAGGAAAUGCAAAACUGGUGAAAAAUAAAUGUGAUUGUUGAAGAGGAACCAGCAGCCGUUGCUCCGUUCAGGUCGGAGCCCCUCCCUUGGUCCCUUGUGACCUCCUAGGAGCGGCAGGUCAGAGACCCUGUGAACGUCCUUCAGGGCUGGCACCUGCCCCACUCAGACAUGGGGAGCACUAGCAAGGUGGUGGCCAGGAACCACACGCACAGCAGUUAACUGGCUUUUACUGAUUGUUUAGGUUAAAAGUUCACCAUUAAUUACAAGUAACUGAUAACAUGCUGUUCAUUUGUGAGCUGACAGCUAAGCCUUUCCCCAGGCACAGCUGGUGGCUGAACUGAACAGAGGCCCUAACCGUGUCACUGUGGCGAAGCCAGACCACUGGCCUGGGACAGAUUUGUUGUCUUUCACCUCCAAUUUCGUGCUGUUUCGUGUUUCUCUUUCUUCCCUUCAGUUCUCCUAGAUUGCUGUCCUCGAGUGGCCACUUGGUUCCCUUCGUGAUGCUGCGGCUCUUUAGGAAGCAUUUCCGGUUCUGGGCUGACUCUAUCUUGGAGGGCCCUUCCUUGAUUCCUGCAACCAAGUAGGAGUGGACUCAGGGCCAGCUUGCCAACCUUGGGAGAUGCCACUGGUGUCCCGAAGCCACUGUGUCAGGUCUCACAGCCUGUCCAUUUGCAGGAGACACAAAGCCUGGCACCUCACCCACCACCAGUGCAGACACAGCCACACCCGGGCUCUGCCUUAACAGGCAGGGGAGGGCAGUGCUGUUAGGAGCAGUGGGAUGACUGGGCCACUCAUCUGAGCUUGCCCUUACUAUGGACCUGGACCUUGUGGCAGGUGUUGGGUGUCCUAAGUAUCCUCUAAGAACAAUGACAAAUGUCCAUGUAAACUCAGGGUUCACUCUGCGUCCAGCAGCAAGAGCGUCAAGUGGGCCUUUACAAGUCCAUUGUCAAAUAUCCACUAUGCGUAAAAAUUGCCUAAGUCCUGCCUGUCACUUGCAAAUGGAAAAUGGCCGGCAAGUUGAAAGAGAGGGCAUGCCAUCUGCUUCACAGGCACGAAGAUGAUGACGGGAGGCCCCAGGAGGAGGCUGCUCAUGAAACGCUGGCAGUCUGCGGGAGAGGGAAGGCCAGGCGGCUUCCGGCUGAUGACACCCGACACCUUGCAGCCCAUGGAGGCUGCACUGCCACUGCCUUAUUCAUUAUGGGCUGUUGGCCUUCUCCAUUUGUGUAGGGAAAAAAAUUUGCUUUCUUUACUUGCAUAUCAGCAAUGCUUGGCAUAAAUUUGGCAUUUGAAAACUGCAGAUUUCAUAGACACUGCACACCUGGAGCUCUCCUGUUGGCACAGAUACAGCCUGAGCAUGCUUCUCAGCAAACACCCCCACUCAGUGACAGAACUGUCCUGGGGCCUGCAACUUCUUGCUAUUCCGAUUCUGGGAGUCUGCGAUGGCUGUGGUUGCAAUCUGGGCUGAGACUGGUGGUCAGGCUGCCCGGAGCACCCAGGUGUAACUGCACGGGCACCAGACGUGGAGCUGGGACACCUGGGGACUCCAUGUGCUGGCUGGGGACUCCAUGAUCGAUCUCCCAAGUCAGGCAAACGCUGUUGGCCUCGUGUGCAAUCAAAGGCCACUGUGCUAGGUGGCCACUAAAUUCAACUCUAGUUCGUAUUCUUUACAUUUAGUGUUUUAUCUAGUCUUUUCAUUCAUUAAAUUGAGCUCUGAAAUUAGUCUGAAAAGUGAGAAUUUGUACUAAUUUUCCUUGCUAGUGACUCUUGAACCGUCACCCUCCAUAAUGAUUUUUGCUUUGUAAUAGCCACCCAAAAUAGUACCCCAUGCAUUAUUUUUCUUUUUACCUUUUUGAUAAUAUAUGUUGUUAUGAUUAUUGAUGAUCAAUUAGCAUAUUUAUUAAAAAUUAUUUUAAAAACUAGAAAAUCAUCCCAAAGACGGAAAAAAUUAUCAUAGCCCAAAGGUAACUGCUUUUUUUUUACAAUUUUGGUGUAUGUUUUUAUAUCUCUUUCUAUCUAUCUAUAUUCACA
rnacentral:lncRNA from 10 species